GUGAAUCAUCGAAUUUUUGAACGCAAAUUGCACUCUCUUCGGAGAGUAUGCCUGUUUGAGGGUCAGUAUUAAUAUUAAUCGGUGUGUUGCUUCUUUGUGACGCUUCGGGGUUUGGGUCAUCUUACUAACCUUUAGUUUUUAAGAGGCUUAAAUUUGACUUUUUUUUCUCAUUUUAGUUGUAGAUAUAUUCUUUUUUUUUAUUCGUCUUUUUUUCUGCUCACAAUCCUAUUAGUUGCGUCCAUAUCGUGUGGUUUC
rnacentral:misc_RNA from 1 species